rnacentral:rRNA from 1 species
CCUGACUGCUAUCGGAUUGAUACUAAGCCAUGCGAGUCAUUGUAGUAAUACAAGGCAGACGGCUCAGUAACGCGUAGUCAACCUAACCUAUGGACGGGAAUAACCUCGGGAAACUGAGUAUAAUGCCCGAUAGAACAUUAUGCCUGGAAUGGUUUAUGUUCCAAAUGAUUUAUCGCCGUAGGAUGGGACUGCGGCCUAUCAGUUUGUUGGUGAGGUAAUGGCCCACCAAGACUAUUACAGGUACGGGCUCUGAGAGGAGUAGCCCGGAGAUGGGUACUGAGACACGGACCCAGGCCCUAUGGGGCGCAGCAGGCGAGAAAACUUUGCAAUGUGCGAAAGCACGACAAGGUUAAUCCGAGUGGUUUCUGCUAAAGGAACCUUUUGUCGGUCCUAGAAACACCGAUGAAUAAGGGGUGGGCAAGUUCUGGUGUCAGCCGCCGCGGUAAAACCAGCACCUCAAGUGGUCAGGAUGAUUAUUGGGCCUAAAGCAUCCGUAGCCGGCUUUGUUAGUUUUCGGUUAAAUCUGUACGCUUAACGUACAGGCUGCCGGGAAUACUGCAGAGCUAGGGAGUGGGAGAGGUAGACGGUACUCGGUAGGAAGGGGUAAAAUCCUUUGAUCUAUUGAUGACCACCUGUGGCGAAGGCGGUCUACCAGAACACGUCCGACGGUGAGGGAUGAAAGCUGGGGGAGCAAACCGGAUUAGAUACCCGGGUAGUCCCAGCUGUAAACUAUGCAAACUCAGUGAUGCAUUGGCUUGUGGCCAAUGCAGUGCUGCAGGGAAGCCGUUAAGUUUGCCGCCUGGGAAGUACGUACGCAAGUAUGAAACUUAAAGGAAUUGGCGGGGGAGCACCACAAGGGGUGAAGCCUGCGGUUC